AUGAGUGUGCAAUAAUGCUUUUCGAAACCACAAAGGUCUUCUGAUGAGAUGUGGAAACUGAAGGAUAAGAAUGUUUCUGCUACAGAACAACGCUGAAUCUAGUAAAAGCAGAGGCAGAACACUCUGCCAGGAAUUACAAAACCAGUUCUGUUUGACAAGGGAGGACUUGGUGCCUGCUCAGCUGGCAGGGCUACUCCAAAACCACUGACGAAUACUGACACCUACUGGAGAUACUGGAGUGUUGCAGCAGAGACUCCCAUCACAGCACCUUCAUGACCCCAUCAUUGUUCCUGACUUCAUUUUCACUCAUUAUACAAAAUUCAGCCAUUUCUGUAACUGUUUCUAUAAAAUACAUAGUAAUGGCGUUUAUAAAUGGCUAUCCAAAAAAUAUCAUGUAAAAGAAACUAAUACAUAAAUGAUGCCUAAAAUAAAUAACCUAUUCUCCAGGGCAGCAUCUCAAGUGUUACUAAAGGUCACCCCACUCCAUUACUGAAGAUAUCCUAUCCACUAAAGAAGCAGUGCGGAAGACACUCCAGAUGAGAUAGCACACUGUCAUGUUUACCCCAGGGUUACUGGUCUACUUAGAUGUCAUGGAAAUAAUGUUUCAGACCUCGCAACUAAGGCAUUCUUUGUAUCAAUAUCAGAUUCAACUGACAAAAAUCAUAUCACACCUAAAGCUUACUUCUAAAGAAAUGUGGAUGUUCCUAUCCCCCAAUAAUGUAACUAACACAUUACACGUGACAAUACAUUGUCAGCAGCAGUGUGGAUUAGUGGUCUGCUAAGAAAUAAAUAAUAAUAAUUGUGACACGCUCAUCGCAGUUUUUAUAAUAGCAUUUCAUAACAAAUGUAUAUGUACUUUUUUCAUUAGUUGAGGAAAUCAUAUGUCCUAACCAUAAAAAACAACAACAAUUAUACAGCUAUACAGGUAAGUCCUUUUAAAAAAUAAAAUCCUGCAGUAUACCAUAGUAAAAGCUUAGUGAAAUAAAGUAAUGCAUGGUAAAGCACAAGCCAUCCUGUUAAAUCACAAUUACACAAUUGUCAAAAUUAAAGCAUUGUCAAAACCUGGUUAAACCACAGCAAAAUGCAUAGGUAAGCACAGUGAAAGCAUGGAAAACGGCAAAAUGAACAAUCAAAAUGUGCAGAGUGAGAAUCCUCAGCACGCUCGCUGACCCAGAUCACUGAU